UAAGCAUCGACGACGAAAUGGCAGGACGACGACUGCCGGAAGUGAAAUUUUCGCUCGCCAAUAUUCUGCACAGGCGCGAACUAUCUUGAACGUCGUCCAGGGAUUGUCGACGACAAAAUUCUAGUGGGUUUGGCGUUCUCGUGAAAACGUUCAGGUUGAUGAAAUCUGCAAUGGCGGCAAAGCAACAACAACCUCUUGAAAAGAAAUCUACCGCAAAAUAUUUCCAAUGGACUUUCC